rnacentral:rRNA from 1 species
UACAGAGGUGGCAAGCGUUGUUCGGAAUUACUGGGCGUAAAGGGCGCGUAGGCGGCCUUCUAAGUCAGACGUGAAAUCCCCCGGCUUAACCUGGGAACUGCGUCUGAUACUGGAGGGCUUGAGUGCGGGAGAGGGAUGUGGAAUUCCUGGUGUAGCGGUGAAAUGCGCAGAUAUCAGGAGGAACACCAGUGGCGAAGGCGGUGGUCUGGGCCGAUACUGACGCUGUAGAGCGAAAGCGUGGGGAGCGAACAGG